UACUGAUAUUGGUGAGGGUAAUUUCUAAGAAUACCUUUAAAUCUUUCCCAAGCUUGGUAAAUAUUUUCUCUUUCUUUCUGCUUGAAACGUAGAAUCUUGCUCUCAAGCA